AAAGGGUCCGUAGGCGGGCCCGUAAGUCAGUGGUGAAAUCUCAUAGCUCAACUAUGAAACUGCCAUUGAUACUGCGGGCCUUGAGUAAGGUAGAGGUAGCUGGAAUAAGUAGUGUAGCGGUGAAAUGCAUAGAUAUUACUUAGAACACCAAUUGCGAAGGCAGGUUACCAUGUCUUAACUGACGCUGAUGGACGAAAGCGUGGGGAGCGAACAGGAUUAGAUACCCUUGU
rnacentral:rRNA from 1 species